CCCUAGCCCUGAUUGCAGUGAAAAUCCUUUUUUGAAAAAAAAGAUUGUAAUGGAAAGCAGGAAAUAGC
rfam:Chryseobacterium sp. IHB B 17019, complete genome.